GGAUGAACGCUGGCGGCGUGCCUAAUACAUGCAAGUCGAGCGAACGGACGAGAAGCUUGCUUCUCUGAUGUUAGCGGCGGACGGGUGAGUAACACGUGGAUAACCUACCUAUAAGACUGGGAUAACUUCGGGAAACCGGAGCUAAUACCGGAUAAUAUUUUGAACCGCAUGGUUCAAAAGUGAAAGACGGUCUUGCUGUCACUUAUAGAUGGAUCCGCGCUGCAUUAGCUAGUUGGUAAGGUAACGGCUUACCAAGGCAACGAUGCAUAGCCGACCUGAGAGGGUGAUCGGCCACACUGGAACUGAGACACGAUCCAGACUCCUACGGGAGGCAGCAGUAGGGAAUCUUCCGCAAUGGGCGAAAGCCUGACGGAGCAACGCCGCGUGAGUGAUGAAGGUCUUCGGAUCGUAAAACUCUGUUAUUAGGGAAGAACAUAUGUGUAAGUAACUGUGCACAUCUUGACGGUACCUAAUCAGAAAGCCACGGCUAACUACGUG
rnacentral:rRNA from 1 species